GGGGUUGACCGGUUUUGACGGGGUGAGCAAGGGUUAUGUAAGCAUGCCGAGCGUGGGGAGUUUAGCUCGUAAAUAUCAAGUCUCAAAAUUUUAUCUGGCGAGUCUAACUUUGCCAUGGCUGCUUAAUCUGGGAUUAAGCAAUUGCCAUUGUCUCGUAAAAUGUUAAGUUUUGUUUCGUUUUACAUCAGAGGCAUCAUUUAAACCAAACCUUUGAGCAGUAUGUUUAUGGCUGUUUUAAGUACAUAAUAAACUAUAAAUUAAGCCGGUAUGAGGAACAGCCAACUUAGUUCGAAAACUAAUGUUUCUAUAAGCAUGUAGAAGGCAUAGCAAUUCCAUUUCCGGACGAGGGUUCGAAUCCCUCCAACUCCACAA
rnacentral:tmRNA from 1 species